rnacentral:misc_RNA from 1 species
GAUGAAGAACGUAGCGAAAUGCGAUACUUGGUGUGAAUUGCAGAAUCCCGUGAACCAUCGAGUCUUUGAACGCAAGUUGCGCCUCAAGCCAUUAGGUUGAGGGCACGUCUGCCUGGGCGUCACAUAUCGUUCCCUGAUGCCAGUUUCCUCGUGAUGGGUGACUGUGCAGGGCGAAUGAUGGCUUCCCGUGAGCAUUGUUGCCUCAUGGUUGGUUGAAAAUUGAGUCCUUGGUAGGGAGCGCCGUGAUAGAUGGUGGUUGAGUGACGAACGAGACCCAAUCAUGUGAGACCCCUACCGAAUUUGGCCUUCAUGACCCACAUGCGUCUUUGGAACGCUCAUGACGAGACCUCAGGUCAGGCGGGGCUACCCGCUGAGUUUAAGCAUAUCAAUAAGCGGAGGA